CGGCAGCUGCUCAGCCGCUUGGGUGCUGGGAAGGUUGGACCGGCUGGCAUACCUCUUCGGUAGCGCGGUUGCUUGGCAGACGGAGGCUUGUGGCGUCCUUCCUCCGGGACAAAUCUGCCCGAACGGAGAGAGGCUGCAGCGGUGAAUGGCCUCCCCUUAGCCUUACUCCCUGAGCCAAAGAGAGGAGACCGCUCCCGCGCGCUUACUUUUCUGGCCCCUCUCGGAUGCCGUCGAAAUCUAGAGUGGCAAAGGCCUUGUUCAAACACUGUUGGGAGUUGUUCGUUGCAUCCGCAGCCUUCCCGCCCUGCCCAGAAAGUGCACUGAGAAUAUUUUGAAUCAGUGAAAAGAAAAAGGAAGAUGCAUAGAAGUCAAACUCCAGUUUGGAGUAUCAACACAGAUUUCUUCAUAUUGUGAUUGUAAACCCCAUGGGAUGUUUCUUCAUCAGUGUACACAUUAGAAACACACUGGCUGGUAUCCAUCUUAUAUGCCUUUGUAUAUCUUUUUUAAAACAAUGUUGCACAGGUUGGUGUUCCCUUCACUUCUGUUGUCGCCAAUUCACAACCACCGCCACUUUAACCCCUGAGCAACUACAUCCCCCAUGGUCUGUCUUUUACUGGUGGAGAGUGGUGCUGAUAAUCAGAUAAGUAUCUGGCUGUGUCUCUAUAACUAAACAGAGAAUGAUUACAUAAUCUACUAAGAUCAGUUUGGGUAAUCAUUUUGCAUCUGGCUGCAGGGAUGUAACCAAAUGCUUCCUUCAUCCUCUUGUCCGAAAUCCUGGGUUCUCCUGGUGUGCUACAGCUUCCAAUUGGUCCAACGAAACUCUCAAGAGUUGAAGGCAGGGACAGAAAUCUCUUUGUUACGAAAUGGCCAGAGCAGACACUGGAGGAUAACAGUCUCCAAAUUCAGCAUGUUUUUUCUAUGCACAAACACGAUUAUAAUAUAGAGAUUCUAUACACAUUUGAGAACAUGAAAAUGGAGAUGAUUGCUGUAGUUCCAGGAUCAAUGGUUUUAUUGGGCUAUGGGGCUUGUCCAUUCCUGCCUAUUAAUAGGCAGAAAGAUUAAAGGUUUGUAGAUCUCGGCCACUGAUUGGCUGAGUAGUCUGAUAGAAAGUUCAAUAAACUGCCAAUGGUUGAAUUUGAA